rnacentral:rRNA from 1 species
AACGAACGCUGGCGGCAUGCCUAAUACAUGCAAGUCGAACGAGAUCUUCGGAUCUAGUGGCGCACGGGUGCGUAACGCGUGGGAAUCUGCCCUUGGGUUCGGAAUAACUUCUGGAAACGGAAGCUAAUACCGGAUGAUGACGUAAGUCCAACGAUUUAUCGCCCCAGGAUGAGCCCGCGUAGGGUUAGCCAGUUGGUGGUGUAAAGGCCCGCCAAGGCGACGAUCCUUAGCUGGUCUGAGAGGAUGAUCAGCCGCACUUGCACUGCGGCACGGCCCACAAUGCUACGGGAGGCAGCAGUAGGGAAUAUUGGACAAGGGGGGAAACCCUAGUGCAGCAAUGUCGGGGGAGUGGUGAAGGCCUUAGGGUUGUAAAGCUCUUUGAGCCGGGAUGAUAAUGACGGUACCGGGAGAAUAAGCUCCGGCUAACUCCGUG